rnacentral:tRNA from 2 species
GAUGGUUCUGGGCAACGGGUCGCGGGUCUGGGCGUUUUGGCGGAAUGUCGACUGGCGCAUCGCCUGGCGGUUCUACUUGCCGGCUAUUCC